AUUGAACGCUGGCAGCAGGCCUAACACAUGCAAGUCGAACGAGUGGCGGACGGGUGAGUAAUGUCUGGGAAACUGCCCGAUGGAGGGGGAUAACUACUGGAAACGGUAGCUAAUACCGCAUACCAUCGGAUGUGCCCAGAUGGGAUUAGCUAGUAGGUGGGGUAACGGCUCACCUAGGCGACGAUCCCUAGCUGGUCUGAGAGGAUGACAGGCAACACGUGAACUGAGAUACGGUCCAGAUUCCUACGGGAGGCAGCAGGGGGGAAGAUUGCACAAUUGGCGCAUGUCUGAGGCAGCCAUGCCGCGUGGAUGAAGAAGGCCUGCGGGGUGUAAAGUACUUUCAGCGAGUAGGCGUUACUCGCAGAAGAAGCCCCGUCUAACUCCGUGUCAGCAGCCGCGGUAAUAC
rnacentral:rRNA from 1 species